CUCUGCUGGCUGCUAGCUAUGCUUUUGUGCCUUCAUUUCCAGCCCAGGGCCAGACACACUCCUUUCCAUUUCCUCGGGAAGAAGACUGAGUGAAAUUAGCAGAUGACUGCGGCAACUGUAUCGCCUCUUUGCUCUGUCCCUUGCAGCCUGCACUCACUGCCAGUGGUCAACCUACCUGGUCACAGGGGCAAUGUGAAAGAAGUAAAGGAGGAAAUUCAAGUGCAAGAAGCAGAAGAAGGAUGAAACAGGAGAGGGUUUUCUUUUCAGAAAAAUGAAAAUGGAAAAAAUCUAACAAAUCUUUUUAUGGGAAGCUGAUAAAGGUUAUUUACAGCUUCCUCAAAUCUGAUACAUCUCUAAAUGGCUGAGGAGAUGAAAGAGCAUUCACUAGACUGAGUCUUCAGAUUUUGUCUGCAAGAAGAGUUUGAUGCAAUCAGUCACAGCUCUUACAAGAAAACUACAAAAUUCAUUGACACUAAUUAUCUGACUUAAGGUAGAGUUUUGUGCCAGUUCUCCAUCAUCUCCCCCUCCUUGUCUGGCAAAAUGAGAGUGAACAUCAGUGCAGGUUCCUGUGGGGAGUUGUUUUGGCUGGAGC